rnacentral:rRNA from 1 species
UAGUCCACGCUGUAAACGAUGAAUGUUAGAUGUUGGGAUGUUAAACGUCUCAGUGUCGUCGCUAACGCAUUAAACAUUCCGCCUGGGGAGUACGGUCGCAAGAUUAAAACUCAAAGGAAUUGACGGGGGCCUGAACAAGCGGUGGAGUAUGUGGUUUAAUUCGAAGCAACGCGCAGAACCUUACCAGCUCUUGACAUGGGGAUUAAGGACUUUGGAGACAAAGUUUGUCAGUUUGGCUGGAUCCCACACAGGUGCUGCAUGGCUGUCGUCAGCUCGUGUCGUGAGAUGUUGGGUUAAGUCCCGCAACGAGCGCAACCCUCAUUGUUAGUUGCCAACAGGUAUGGCUGGGGACUCUAACAAGACUGCCGGUGAUAAACCGGAGGAAGGCGGGGACGACGUCAAGUCAUCAUGGCCCUUAUGGGCUGGGCUACACACGUACUACAAUGGCACUUAUAACGGGGCGCGAGAAUGCAAGUUUGAGCCAAUCCUUUAAAAAGUGUACUCAGUUCGGAUUGU